GUUACCUAAACCCCGGCAGAAAUUGUAAUUUGACUUCUUGGGAACCUGGUUGUGAGCCACGAUGCGCUUCUCCAGAAGUGUACCAAAACUGAAUUGCAAAAGGAUGGAAGGUAGGUUGAAUCUGAGAAGAAAAGCGCUGUGUAUUUGGUGUUGACGUGCCCGAACCGCAAAUUCCCAAAUGGUGGAUCUGGUUUUACUAUCUAAUGCCUACAUCUUGGUCCCUAAACGGCAUGCUUUCUUCGCAAUAUGGCGAUAUAGAGAAGGAUAUCGAGAUUUUUGGAGAAAAGAAAACAUAGGCAACCUUUUUUGAGGGAUUAUUUUGGAUAUCACCAUGAUCAAUUACCCAUUGUGGCUGUAGUGCUGAUUCUGUUCCCUCUUCGUUUUGCCUGUUUAUUCACACUUUGCCCUUAGAAGUUGAACUUUCAAAGGAGGUGAUAGAAAUUGAAAUAUCUGGCUGGUUUAUGUUUGUGCAGAAAAACAUGUUAAAUAUUCACUUUUACUAUAAUGUUUUGAGAGAAUAUUGUAUUUUCAAUGGGUAGAUAUGAGGAUAUCAUACAUAUUUGUAGAUUUCUUAUGA